GAUGAACGCUGGCGGCGUGCCUAAUACAUGCAAGUCGAGCGAACAGACGAGGAGCUUGCUCCUUUUACGUUAGCGGCGGACGGGUGAGUAACACGUAGGUAACCUACCUAUAAGACUGGGAUAACUUCGGGAAACCGGAGCUAAUACCGGAUAAUAUUUCGAACCGCAUGGUUCGAUAGUGAAAGAUGGCUUUGCUAUCACUUAUAGAUGGACCUGCGCCGUAUUAGCUAGUUGGUAAGGUCACGGCUUACCAAGGCAACGAUACGUAGCCGACCUGAGAGGGUGAUCGGCCACACUGGAACGGAGACACGGUCCAGACUCCUACGGGAGGCAGCAGUAGGGAAUCGUCCGCAAUGGGCGAAAGCCUGACGGAGCAACGCCGAGUGAGUGAUGAAGGUCUUCGGAUCGUAAAACUCUGUUAUUAGGGAAGAACAAACGUGUAAGUAACUGUGCACGUCUUGACGGUACCUAAUCAGAAAGCCACGGCUAACUACGUG
rnacentral:rRNA from 1 species